AACGAACGCUGGCGGCAUGCCUAACACAUGCAAGUCGAACGAGACCUUCGGGUCUAGUGGCGCACGGGUGCGUAACGCGUGGGAACCUGCCCUUAGGUUCGGAAUAACUCCCCGAAAGGGGUGCUAAUACCGGAUAAUGUCUUCGGACCAAGGAUUUAUCGCCUUUGGAUGGGCCCGCGUUGGAUUAGCUAGUUGGUAGGGUAAAAGCCUACCAAGGCGACGAUCCAUAGCUGGUCUGAGAGGAUGAUCAGCCACACUGGGACUGAGACACGGCCCAGACUCCUACGGGAGGCAGCAGUGGGGAAUAUUGGACAAUGGGCGAAAGCCUGAUCCAGCAAUGCCGCGUGAGUGAUGAAGGCCCUAGGGUUGUAAAGCUCUUUUACCCGGGAUGAUAAUGACAGUACCGGGAGAAUAAGCUCCGGCUAACUCCGUG
rnacentral:rRNA from 1 species